rnacentral:rRNA from 1 species
GACGAACGCUGGCGGCGUGCUUAACACAUGCAAGUCGAACGAGUGGCGAACGGGUGAGUAACACGUGGGUGAUCUGCCUUGCACUUCGGGAUAAGCUUGGGAAACUGGGUCUAAUACCGGAUAGUGCAAGAUGGGCUCGCGGCCUAUCAGCUUGUUGGUGGGGUAAUGGCUACCAAGGCGCGACGGGUAGCCGGCCUGAGAGGGUGUACGGCCACAUUGGGGCUGAGAUACGGGCCAGGCUCCUGCCGGGGGCAGCAGUGGGGAAGUUUGCAAAAUGGGGGGAACCCUGAUGCAGCGACGCCGCGUGAUUUAGAAGGCCUUCGGGUUGUAAAAAUCUUUUCUAUGGGAAGCAGUACCAUAGGAAUAAGGACCGGCUAAUUACGUGCCAGCAGCCGCGGUAAUUC